UACGAAGGGGGCUAGCGUUGCUCGGAAUCACUGGGCGUAAAGCGCACGUAGGCGGCUUACUAAGUCAGGGGUGAAAUCCUGGAGCUCAACUCCAGAACUGCCUUUGAUACUGGUGAGCUUGAGUCCGGAAGAGGUGAGUGGAACUGCGAGUGUAGAGGUGAAAUUCGUAGAUAUUCGCAAGAACACCAGUGGCGAAGGCGGCUCACUGGUCCGGUACUGACGCUAAGGCGCGAAAGCGUGGGGAGCGAACAGG
rnacentral:rRNA from 1 species